rnacentral:pre_miRNA from 10 species
GCAAGUUGAGGUAGUAGGUUAUAUCAGUUGAUUAUAUGAACCAGGAGAUAACUGUAUAGCCCACUAGCUUACUUGC